CGAGAGGCCACCGGCGGCAUGGCUGCGUGCGGCGGCGGAGGCGACCGCUCUAAACUAAUCGGAUCGGAUCGGAUCUGACCGAAUCCCGCCGCCGUGCCCGUCUCGCUCGCCGUGGCCGAUGACCUCGUCGGCCGGGACCGCGUCCCUCCCCAAACGGCGGCGAUGAUGGAUGGACCCGCCGGCGCCGGCCAGGCUCCCGUCCUCCGGACGCGGCGGGUCGCCGCUCCUCGGGGCCAGCCCCUCCCGCCGCGCCGGAUCGCGCAUCGGCUUGGAGGCCCCUCGGGGCUGCCGCCAGUGCGGGAGGCGUCUGCGGACCGAGCGGCGGGGCCCGUGAUGCGUUCCGGUCGAGGGCAUGGUCGGGCCGGCGCGGGAUCUGAGCCGCCGUCGAUGGAUUUCUCGCAGCUUGGCUGGAUGUUGCUUUGGAUCCGUUCACACCCCUGAACCCAAACCCUAAGCCGAAUCAGGCGAGCUCUCGUUGCCGGAUCGCUGGCCAAUCGUCCGGUUGACGCGUCAGUUCUACACCGCUGCGGUGCUGCCAGCGACCGCCGUUCCAUUGCCCUGGGUUCGGGUGUGGCGUUGGCUGGGAACCGUACGUUGUUUGUCUGACGUGCCGUCCGCACCGGGGGGUUUGGUCGAUCGACUCCAGGCAUGAGCAGCUCCUGAGCUUGAUGGCUGGAUGUGUGUACACAUGUAAUGGGGUAUCAUGGUCAUGUUGCUUGGUGUGCAGAGGCAACGUCAUUUUUGGACCAAAAAGAGGGGCGAUGACGAGGACGACGAUGAUGAUGACUGUGGCUGAAAUAAUCAUGUCUUGAGCAAUCAAGACAGCCUUGGCUUGUGGGACUAAACAGACCUGAAAAAGUAGGUGUCAGCGAUGGAGUUGCACUUAGAGCCCACCCUUACCUCUGUUGCAGCCUGCUCAAUUUGUCGCUGAUGUUGGAUGAUCUGUGCCUUGGACGGUCGUUCUGAUGAGUGACAACCAGGGCAGUUCUCUUACACUGUGAUGGGUAGGUCAUGGAGCAAGAGAUGUGGGUGUUGGGUUUGAAGAUGAAUGACAAAGCUGAGCCCUCUUUUGCUACGCUACAUACACUGAAUUUUCACUGUUCAGUUGCGUUUUGUUUUGGAUUCGGUUUGAAUCCUCCUCCUCCUCUCUCUCUCUCUCUCUCAUAUAUAUAUAUAUAUAUAUAUAUAUAUAUAUAUAUAUAU